AGUAAAUGUCCUAUAUUUCAUUUAAGGAAAACAAACGAUUUAUAGUAUUAUGGUUGUAGUAUAGGAUUUAACUCUUGAAAUACUAAGUACUUUUGAAUUCAAUAAUCCGUAAUAAUAACUUUGAACUCAGCAGACCGUCAAGGGUUUACGGUCGUACUUUGAAGUCGGAUUUUUAUGUUUUCAAUUUUAACUAUCUACGUGCCACGCACACUGCAAU